GAAAGACGCCUCCUAACACCCCAUAGGCUCUCCACCAAGCUGUGUGCUAAAAGAGGUGACUGCCAUCUGUGUGUGCCCUGGGCUCACCUUUUAUUUCACUUUCCCUUGCAGGGACUUUCCAUCUAACUAGAAAGAUGAAGAACAUUUCCCCUCUCCUACACUAGGCAGGGCUGGGGUUUGGGAGGUCAGUGACAAUCAGGGGCUGGAGCAGAUACCUGGCUCUUCUGGAGAAGGAGGGGACCUGGAAGGGACUCAGGAGGAAUGCCUGGAGGCAGUAGGUGAGGCAUACUUAGGCUGAAUUUCCAGGGAAGCUUGCUGGAGUCGUCUCAGGUCAGCAGACCCAGCAGAGGGGUUAAUGUCUGCCUUGCUCUGGGAAUGAGGUGCUUUCCAGCCCUGGUAACAACCUCCACCUGUCUCCCUUUGAGCCCUUGCAGAAUGAAGUCUUUGCAUCGCGACAUCAGGACCAGAACAGUGUGGCCUGCAUUGAGGAGAAGUGCUAUGUCCUGACUUUUGCCGAGUACUGCAGGUUCUGUGCCAUGGCCAAGCGCCGAGGUGAAGGUCUCCCCAGCCGAAAGACAGCACUGGUUCCC
rnacentral:sRNA from 1 species